rnacentral:piRNA from 1 species
UGAAGGAUUGACUCUUGCACCUGCCAUUUU